GGACCCCUCUGCGCCCAGGGCGCCCCUGCACCCCAGGAGCCCCACUCUGGCCUCCCCGGCUCAGUGCGCCCGAGCCUGGACUUUUGGGGGCUUCCUUCCCCCACUCCCUUCCACGGACCUUCGGUGACUUCCCGCCCUGUCCCGCCGCUCGGACGUGGCUCCUUUGGGGGUGGGGGUGGGGUAGGGAGCGCAGUAUAAAGGGCGGGAGACGGCGCGGGCCGAGACCUAGACGUGGCGCGUCCAGUGUGCCGGCCUCGGCUGCAGCUACAUCGAUAAACUGCCGCCUCAGAGGGGAACAGCAGGGAGAGGGCUGAAGAGAAUGUCACCUGGUGGAGAUGCAGAUGCUGCUGUGGUCAGAAGUGACCUUCAAGGGAAACCUCGAUACCUGUGACCUUUACAGUUCAUGAGAUUGUAUUAGUAUCGUGAAAUCAUGGUCUAUGGACACUUACAUCUUAACUGGGUUUUCCUACAAAUGAGUCAGGGGACACAUUACAAUUAUCCACAAGUGUUCCCUUUUUCUCCUGUUUUCCUUUUUUCAGAUCCAUGGCAUUUAAGAAUUUUAAAAAACCUGCUAAAUCCUCUGAUCAGCCCCAUUAGUUUUUUCUUAAAAUGGCUAAACAUCGAUAAAACGAUACAUAGUUUUAUGCCUCACUAAGAUUGCCUAGUGCUGGGUUUUGUUCAUAUACUGUUUGAAGUAUUUGAAAGACCCAUGAUAUGGCUAGAGAUAAUGCUGUGAUGUUCCCCAAAGUCUUGAUAAAAGAAGAAUUACCAAGUGGGGAGAGUUCAGGGAGACAUCAGCCCCAACUCAAGUAACUUGAGCUUCAUCGGUGUUCUUUGGGGUUCUUUUACCCAUGGAAAUGCUCACUCCCCAUUUAGCAGCCCACUCUCAUAGCAGAGGUAAGCAGGCCAGUUUUAUUCAAAAACAACAGCCAGACACUAAAACAGAAUAGAAAGAAAAUAGUUAUGGCACAUCUGAGAAUGAGCAUCAGUGGGCAUGGGACAAAGUGUGGGCUCUUAGACCUUAAACUGAAGGGCAAGGGCACCUGCCUGUCAGCCCUCUGCCCGUCUGUACACUGGAUACUCCAUCAGGCUCCCUUCUCUGAAAUCUGAGUUCCACCCAUACCCACCCAGGGCCUGCGUCCAGCUUCCCAUGUCUGCCAGGAGCAUGUUUUGCCCCUGCCAGUUGUUCCAUGGAGAGUGACACAGAGUGACCUGGCCAUUGUCCAACUCAGGUGAGCUUGCUCACUUUUGAGCUCUCUAGAACUCACUCCACCAGUGAAAACCACCUCUGGAAGUAUUUUGCCUUGUCUUUAUGGUUAAAUUUCUAGAUAUAUUUUUCUAGCAAGCAACCCAAUUCCCUUACAAUAAAAUUGUGCUCAAAACA